rnacentral:rRNA from 1 species
GCUCUCCUGGAUGAGUUGCGAACGGGUGAGUAACGCGUAGGUAACCUGCCUGGUAGCGGGGGAUAACUAUUGGAAACGAUAGCUAAUACCGCAUAACAUUGACUAUUGCAUGAUAGUCAAUUGAAAAGUGCAAAUGCACCACUACCAGAUGGACCUGCGUUGUAUUAGCUAGUUGGUGGGGUAACGGCUCACCAAGGCGACGAUACAUAGCCGACCUGAGAGGGUGAUCGGCCACACCGGGACUGAGACACGGCCCAGACUUCUACGGGAGGCAGCAGUAGGGAAUCUUCGGCAAUGGACGGAAGUCUGACCGAGCAACGCCGCGUGAGUGAAGAAGGUUUUCGGAUCGUAAAGCUCUGUUGUAAGAGAAGAACGAGUGUGAGAGUGG